ensembl:lncRNA
GUAAAUAUUACAAUCUCCUCAUAGAGUAGAAUUGAAAAAUUAUUCAAAUUUACACCAAGGUUAAAUCAAUCAUCCAAUUAUCGCAAUUAAAAGUUUGAGAUCUGGGCCAGAAAUCACGCAACUGCGGUGUGAAUGUAGCCGAGCUGAACCUGAAGCAGAACGCAAGCCAGGAGAAAGUGAGAAAGAAUGAAGCACCAUGAAGCUGCACCAUGGAGUAUAUGCGGCACCAUUGAAUUUCUGCACCAACAGUAGAAACACAUGCAGGGGCUAAAAAUGACACAGCAUCCCUGAUACCUGACUGACCACACACAAACCCAAAAUACAGUAAGAGUGGUGGUAUCUGGACUGAAGUGUUGAGCAAAGAUCUGGCAGAAUUGGAUCCAAGUAAUUCCAUUUCUACAUACGGAAGGUCGAUGUGUGUUGCAUCAGAGAUGACAGCAAACAACAUGAUCUUAUAAAGAAAAUAAACUUCUCUCACAGAGGAGUAGUUCACCCAAAAAUGAAACCUAUGUCAUCACUUAUUUCCCCUCAUCAAAGUAAUACUACAAAGUAAUAGUUUGUCUAUUUUAAUUAAACCACUGCUAACAGAGCCGUCGUUGGAAUGCCGAUUUGCAGGUCACGUUCUUAAAGGGUUGUCCACUUAUUGUAAGCAAUGCUUUAUUAAGUGUCUUUGGCCUAGUCUUCACUCAUAAAGUGAUCCAGAUUGUAGAGUAAAUAAAGCACGCAGGUGCAUGUCACAAUAUUUUGGUAUAUGGCUUAUUUAGAAGAAUUUGUAUUUAAGCUCAUUACGGGCUUGUUGUUAUUUGCUGUUUUUUCUAGCAAGAUCUGGCAACACUAAUGAGUCAAACCAUACCUUGUUCACUGUGAUUUCUUGCAUUGCACAUAAAGAAAAGACACGGGUUUAAAUACGUCAUGAACAACUAGUUGUUGAGUUUGGUUUUGUACCAGUGUUGCUAAUGAUGAAAGGAAAACCGCAGAAAAAAUGGGCCAGUUUUGAUCAGCAAUUGGGCUGGCUUUGUUUCACAAGACCUGGCAACCCUGUUCAAUUCACACUAUAUAGAAUUUUUGUAAAUGCGGCUGAAUUUUUCAGGAGUUAAUUUGGUGGUAAAUGGCUUAACUGUGUAUGUAGAGAACAGGAUUAAGAAUUCAAAUGUGAACUGACAACCGAAUUUACCUGCAGUGUGUAUGUGGCCGGAAAGUCAG